AGAAGUUCAGUCAUCAGGAAGCCACAAUCAUCUCACAAUGAGGAUCUGUGCCAGCAAAAUCUGCCACCAUAGCAGCAGACAUCUCAAGAAAUGGCAAAUUGAAAGCUGUGACGAGCACGGUCUACCACACGGCAGUUGUGGCUGCUCGCCGCCCUUUAGAUUUCAUUAUUUCCCAGCUAACCUGACCGUUCGGGAAGAGUGGGUGGAGAGAGUCGAUCGUUACGAGACCGGUGGGUCUGGCAUAACACCCAGAAGAUGGCAGCCACGAAUAGACAGUGUUUUGUGCUCGGAGCAUUUUGUCAACGGGGCGCCCAGCAAAGAGUAUCCUAUCCCCUGGUUGAAAUUGGGGCGGGACUUUGGCACCCCUAUACCGGCAAGGCGUGUUCUUAAAAGGAAAAUACUUCCUUUGAAAAAGACAUUGGAAUCAGCCAAGGGUCAAGAUAAAACACCUGUAGCGAAACUCACAAAAUGUGUGGCUGGUAAAGACGUUCAGAUGGACAGUGUUUUGUCAGAGCACAGUUACAGCUAUAGUUGUCGCUGCUGUGAAGCUUGUACUUGCCGAGGCUGCUGUGACAAAGACUUGAAAAUAAACCAGCUGUCACACCGCAUACAUGAACUAGAGAGCAUCAUCACUAAGAAAGCAAAAUUGAUCAUGGUGACCAAAUAUGUACAUUGCGGACAAAAGACGACCAUAAACAAUCGGAAAGACAUCGCCACCAAGAUAUCAAAAUCGGUAGCGAAGACGAACACCAAGGAUGUACAUUUGAGACAAAAGACGCCCGUAAAUGAUACAGAGGAAAUCGUCUCCAAGAAAUCGAAAUUGGUAGCGGAGACAAGCACCAAGGAUGAACAUUUCAGACAAAAGACACGGUCUGAGCCCACCAGCGUUUCUACAAAGCUGUUGACAUCGAAGACGAACACCAAGGAUGUACAUUUGAGACAAAAGACGCCCGUAAAUGAUACGGAGGAAAUCGUCUCCAAGAAAUUGAAAUUGGUAGCGGAGACGAGCACCAAGGAUGAACAUUUCAGACAAAAGACACGGUCUGAGCCCACCAGCGUUUCUACAAAGCUGUUGACAUCGGAUAAGAAAGUCCAGUUUUACACUGGCCUCCAAUCAAAAGCGGUGUUUGAUUCAGUGUUCCAGUAUCUGGAGCCCAAGCUGACCAACGUGCCGUUUUGGCGAGGGCCAAAGGCAGGCAACAAAGUUCGAAAAGGAGGUUUAAACAGAUCAUCCGUCAAGUAUGGGCCAUGCAGGAAACUGCAGUCUAAAGACCUUUUCCUGAUGGUGUUAAUGAAGCAGCACAUGGGCCUGCGGAACGCAGAUUUGGCUGACCGGUUCCAAGUAUCAACCGGGCACUGCAGCCGAAUAGUAUCGACAUGGGCUAAAUCCUUGGCUCCGGAGUUUGGCACGGCAUUGGAAGUGCUCAGCGAGGUAAAACACUGCCAAUCUACAGAGAGCCUUUCCAAGGCACGCUGUGUACUAAGCAGUUUCGAGGAGUCUUGAACAGUGCCAAGAUCUUCGUACAGCGUCCAUGUACAAGCCUGGACCAAUUCAGACAACACAUCACACAGCACUGCUGAGUUACUUGUGUGUGUGCACUCCUUGUGGCAGUGUCGAUCGUGAUUUGAGUCAAAAUCGUAGGGAGGCAGAGCAUCAGAUAAGGACAUCGUCACAAACGUCUUGGAUUUGGUCGUGCCUCAGGACCAGUACAUGGUGGAUAAAGGGUUUCCAGAGGAGCUGAUGCUUCAUGGUGCUCAUCUAGAGACACCAACGCCUUCUAAGGAACAGAUGUUUACCAGCUGGAACACAGCGCUGACUAAAAAGGUGGGAAACCUCAGAAUACAUGUCGAGUGAGCUAUCUGGAGACUGAACGGUUUCGUAUUCCUCAGAAUACAUUGCCCAUAACCCUUGUGCCAUAGAUGACAGAGUGAUCAAUUGUGCAGGCCUUUGUAACUUCUAUGAUCAUCUUGUUUAAAGGUUUCAAAGCCUAUUCCCUGGCCGCAGCCUGGGCCUGCAUGAGGAGUUCAGCCUGGUGGAGGUGCUGAAGGCCAUCUCGCUGCAGCAUGGACUUAGGCCGUCAGAUGAGCGAGUUGGAGAAAAGGCUCAAGCGCCUACAGAUGCAGCUGACACUUGUACAAGUAGAGCAAGGUGGCAAAAAUGAAGACGGAAAUCCACAACCUGAACACCAUCAAACCAUCGGAAUUGUGAGGAUCUGACCAGCCCCGAGGUGGACCGUGUCAUCGUCCAGCGACUGAGGGUUGAUGAAGUCAUUGACGUCCCUUACAGCAAGCUGAUGACCUGUUGAUCAUCAAGGGAAUGCGAGACACUUUUCUCUCAUGAGUCCGUCGCAAGCCUCUCCCCAGCGGGGCGCACUAAAUCCUCCAACGUCUCCUGAGUUGUUUUGUCCAAGACACCCAACUAGAUACCAAAACGGCCCCGCUGAUAGCGAUUGAUGAUGUCCAAUGCAUCAAUGAUGACUCCUGUGCUUACUUACGCUUCUUCGGCGGCUACUCUUUGUUCUCGGCAUGGGAGGGCUCAGGAAGGGGGCGGAGUUUGAGGUUGUCAAGGGGAGGGAGAUCUUGAACAGUCUGCUGUGUAUCGACGUCAAGCUUGAUGGGCUGGAGUCUAGCAACAUGGAACCGUUGCUGUGCCAGUUGCUGGAAAGGGCAAGCAUGCCCAGGGAACGCAACAAAUGAUGAUUUUUCUGCCAAUGUUCACUGGAAUUGUGAGGAUCUGACCAGCCCCGAGGUGGACCGUGUCAUCGUCCAGCGACUGAGGGUUGAUGAAGUCAUUGACGUCCCUUACGGCAAGCUGAUGACCUGUUGAUCAUCAAGGGAAUGCGAGACACUUUUCUCUCAUGAGUCCGUCGCAAGCCUCUCCCCAGCAGGGCGCACUAAAUCCUCCAACGUCUCCUGAGUCGUUUCGUCCAAGACGCCCAACUAGAUACCAAAACGGCCCCGCUGAUAGCGAUUGAUGAUGUCCAAUGCAUCAAUGAUGACUCCUGUGCUUACUUACGCUUCUUCGGCGGCUACUCUUUGUUCUAGGCAUGGGAGGGCUCGGGAAGGGGGCGGAGUUUGAGGCUCUGGAAGGGAGGGAG
rnacentral:misc_RNA from 1 species